ACAAACUUGGUCAUUUAGAGGAAGUAAAAGUCGUAACAAGGUUUCCGUAGGUGAACCUGCGGAAGGAUCAUUCUCGAGCGUCCGGGGGCCCGUCCCCCGACCCUCCAUCCCUUGCGAACGUCCCUCUUCUGCCUGGCCUGCGGCCCGCGGUCAAACCCGCGGGCGGGGCCGGCCUCCAAACCCAACCCUCUUUGACAUACCGUCCGAGUUUGUUUCGUUAAUCGAAAAGAACACAACUUUCAACAAUGGAUCUCUUGGCUCUGGCAUCGAUGAAGAACGCAGC
rnacentral:misc_RNA from 1 species